GACGAACGCUGGCGGCGUGCCUAAUACAUGCAAGUUGAGCGCUGAAGGUUGGUGCUUGUACCAACUGGAUGAGCAGCGAACGGGUGAGUAACGCGUGGGGAAUCUGCCUUUGAGCGGGGGACAACAUUUGGAAACGAAUGCUAAUACCGCAUAAAAACUUUAAACACAAGUUUUAAGUUUGAAAGAUGCAAUUGCAUCACCCAAAGAUGAUCUCGCGUUGUAUUAGCUAGUUGGUGAGGUAAAGGCCCACCAAGGCGAUGAUAACUAGCCGACCUGAGAGGGGGAUACGCCCCAAUUGGACCUGGAACAGGCCCAAAACCCUACGGGAAGCAGCCGGAGGGGAACCUCGGCAAAGGAGGGAAGUCUGGACGAGGAACGGCGCCGGGGGGAAGGAGGGUCUCGGAUCGUAAAAAUCUGUUGGUAGGGAAGAAAGUUGGUGAGAGUGGAAAGCUCAUGAAGUGACGGUAACUAACCAGAAAGCGACGGCUAACUACGUG
rnacentral:rRNA from 1 species